UGGGUGUGGCGAGCUGCACAUAAGUGGCUGGAGAAGAAGGGCCAGCCCAGAGGUCAGUCAAAGUGGCACACCAAGGAGCGAAAUGUUGCAGUAGGAGAUUUGGUAUGGCUGGCUGACCAAAAUGCCCUGAGAGGUCAAUACAAGUUGGCUAGAGUGGUCAGUGUCAACGCUGAUAGGAAAGGCAUCGUAAGGGAUGUACAUGUGAGAACCUUUCCCAGCUACCCCGUCCCAGUCACGAAGCCAACCAGAGGAGAGAUCACAAAAACAAACAAGGAAGCAACGAAGAGGCUCUUAACAAAAAUCCCUGCAACAAUUCUGCAUAGGGAUGUCAGACGCCUAGUCAUCCUACUACCAAUAGAAGAACAACCAGAGGCUUGAAGGACUGGUGUGACCUCCCUGGGUUUAAAAAACCAGGAGCUCAAGUGUCGAGGCAAAAUGAUGAACUUUGCCUAAGAAAAACUUCAAGUCCCAUAAUGCACCACCAGCAGGCCAGUGCAGGCUGCUCAUUAUGACUUGAGUUGGGACACCUGCGGAUGAGGACUCUCAGCAAACGUCUCAGCAGAGAGAGAGAGGCAGGAGAGAGGAUUCAGCUCAUGGUACACCAAAGAAGCCACUGGUUUUCAACCUGAUGAACCAACCAGCAAACAAUGAACAAAUAAGGCAAAAUAAACAUUGAGCUGUGUUGAAAA